GCCGCCUUAGCUCAGUUGGCCAAUGCGUAGGUCUCGGGUUCGAAUCCCGAAGGCGGCU
rnacentral:tRNA from 1 species